UACGUAGGGUGCGAGCGUUGUCCGGAAUUAUUGGGCGUAAAGAGCUUGUAGGCGGUUUGUCGCGUCUGCUGUGAAAAUCCGGGGCUCAACCCCGGACUUGCAGUGGGUACGGGCAGACUAGAGUGUGGUAGGGGAGACUGGAAUUCCUGGUGUAGCGGUGGAAUGCGCAGAUAUCAGGAGGAACACCGAUGGCGAAGGCAGGUCUCUGGGCCUUACCUGACGCUGAGGCGCGAAAGCCAGGGGAGCAAACGGG
rnacentral:rRNA from 1 species